UGUCCUGUUUUAGUACUGCAUAUCUGCUUCUUACUACAGAUGUGUGGCUAUGCUAACAGGAUAGAGAAACUCUUUCACUGUCUGAAGGGGUUGAGCAGUCAAAUAUUUGCCACCUCUAAUGAAAGGAAGAUACAUUGUGUA